rnacentral:rRNA from 1 species
UGUGAACGCUGGCGGUAGGCCUAACACAUGCCAGUCGAACGGCAGCACAGUAAGAGCUUGCUCUUACGGGUGGCGAGUGGCGGACGGGUGAGGAAUACAUCGGAAUCUACUUUUUCGUGGGGGAUAACGUAGGGAAACUUACGCUAAUACCGCAUACGACCUACGGGUGAAAGCAGGGGAUCUUCGGACCUUGCGCGAUUGAAUGAGCCGAUGUCGGAUUAGCUAGUUGGCGGGGUAAAGGCCCACCAAGGCGACGAUCCGUAGCUGGUCUGAGAGGAUGAUCAGCCACACUGGAACUGAGACACGGUCCAGACUCCUACGGGAGGCAGCAGUGGGGAAUAUUGGACAAUGGGCGCAAGCCUGAUCCAGCCAUACCGCGUGGGUGAAGAAGGCCUUCGGGUUGUAAAGCCCUUUUGUUGGGAAAGAAAAGCAGCAGGUUAAUACCCCGCUGUUCUGACGGUACCCGAAGAAUAAGCACCGGCUAACUUCGUG